rnacentral:rRNA from 1 species
GACGAACGCUGGCGGCGUGCUUAACACAUGCGAGUCGAACGGAAAGGCCCUGCUUUUGUGGGGUGCUCGAGUGGCGAACGGGUGAGUAACACGUGAGUAACCUGCCCUUGACUUUGGGAUAACUUCAGGAAACUGGGGCUAAUACCGGAUAGGAGCUCCUGCUGCAUGGUGGGGGUUGGAAAGUUUCGGCGGUUGGGGCUGGACUCGCGGCUUAUCAGCUUGUUGGUGGGGUAGUGGCUUACCAAGGCUUUGACGGGUAGCCGGCCUGAGAGGGUGACCGGCCACAUUGGGACUGAGAUACGGCCCAGACUCCUAAGGGAGGCAGCAGUGGGGAAUAUUGCACAAUGGGCGGAAGCCUGAUGCAGCAACGCCGCGUGCGGGAUGACGGCCUUCGGGUUGUAAACCGCUUUCGCCUGUGACGAAGCGUGAGUGACGGUAAUGGGUAAAGAAGCACCGGCUAACUACGUG